UUUCCUGCUGCCGCCUCCCUCAUUCUGAUUCUUCUUCAGAUACCUCCACCAGACACCACGCCAGCCACUAUACCCCUGCCCUGACUGGCACUGCAGCCGGUGACAACAGAUACCUGAUAGACUGAGAAUGGUCCUGACAUGGAUGUCAGCAGUCUGUAAUGCUGUGAGACAUUACAUCCGUCAGCACAGGUUUCGGGUAAGAUGGACCAUCAAAAUAAAGAACCCUGCCAAACUGAAGGAGGAGAUAAAAACCUUAGUGCAGGAGAAAAACACCUUAGUGGAGCAGAAGAACAUCUUAGUGGAGGAGAAAAAGAUCUUACUGGAGGAGAAAAAGAGCCUGAUAGAGGAAAACGAGUGGCUGAAGAUACAAGUGGAGAUGCUGCAGGAAUCACUGUCGGCAGCCACUAUAACAUACUGGUACAUCUGCUAGAAGCAUCAGAACAUCGGGGGGAUGUAAUAGGGUGUAAUAAUCAGAAAGUGAGAGAUUUUAGGAGAGUUUUCCUGUUUUUUUAAAUGACAAUCAUUUACAUUGUUUAAUCAAACUGGGUUUGCUAUGUAAAUGAUUGCCACUUUAAAUAAAACUAAAUCUCUCACUUUCUGAUUCUCACACCCAAUUACAUCCCCCCAGACUCAUCCCCUCACCAACAUCUGGGAUGUGCCUUCUACUGAGUGCUCUUUUGGUGAUUACUUUGAUAUUUAAAUAAACAUCUGUAAUCACCCAACCGCA